UACGGAGGAUCCGAGCGUUAUCCGGAUUUAUUGGGUUUAAAGGGUGCGUAGGCGGUAUGGUAAGUCAGCGAUAAAAUUUCGGGGCUCAACCCCGACAAGCCGUUGAAACUGGCUUGCUAGAGUGGGCGAGAAGUAUGCGGAAUGCGUGGUGUAGCGGUGAAAUGCAUAGAUAUCACGCAGAACCCCGAUUGCGAAGGCAGCAUACCGGCGCUCAACUGACGCUGAGGCACGAAAGUGCGGGUAUCGAACAGG
rnacentral:rRNA from 1 species